ensembl:snoRNA
UUGUGAUGAAACUUAAACUGAAAUAGCUGGAAUUACCGUCAGAUUGUUCAGUGGUGAUAAUUGGUUUUCUGAAC